ensembl:lncRNA
CUCCAUUAUACGAACUACACCUCUGCAGAUGUUGCACUGAAAUGAAAAGCUUCUCUCCAUACUCAGUGGAGAAAGAACUUUAUUGAACAGUGGAAUGAGACACUGAGUGUUAGGUAACAUUGUACAACAUGAUAGAUAUAUCUUACAUUUGUUCUUCUGGUCUGUGGUGCUCCCUAAAAACCUUUGCAUUUCAUGAGGCCCGAUGCAAUUUUUUUGUGUUACAGAACAACCCUGGUGAAAUCAUGCUUUUGCCAUGAGAUCUGAGCUGUUCUGAGGAAUGGGAAAGAAGAGACAGAGGAGGAGAGGAAUCACUGAGCUCUACUUUCCACAGAAUAAGGCCUCUGGAAAUAAGAUGGUGUCAAAAUCUCUGCAUUUAUCGUUAACUGCUUAAAAGGUCCUUUACAGUUCAGGCAAGAAUGAUGCUUGCCCUGGCAAGUUUAUGUACUAAUUGAAACCUCUGCGUUUGUGUGUCAGCACAACACAGCAAAAUGGAGAGCUGCAGUGGCAAUGGAAAUACUCUAAUGUUGCUCAAGUCAAAAUAAAAACUUCAUCUUGUUUGGCAUCAGCCAUGAGAAAAGGUGGAUAUUGCUGCAGGACAGGGAGACAUUGGAAAAGAGAGGCUGGCACAGCUAAGGGGGAGCGGCCCAGUGGGAGAAGCCUAGAUAAUUAGAGAGGAGAGAAACUAUGCAGGAAGCUUAGAAAGCCACGAGCUAUGGGGUAAAUUAAAGGAGACAGAGCAGACUGAGUAGAUUUGAUUGUCUGAAUUACAUGUGUGCAUCUGAGUAGCAGGUGAAAGGAAUGAAGAUGAGGUAGCAGUCUGAAAGCCUUUAAAGGGAUCACCUGGAGGCUAAGGAGCAGGUGGAGGGUUGAGCUGUGGAGGAGAGGAAGCAAAAUAAAUCUUGGGAAAGUGGGGGAGGGGGGUGUACAUUAUCUGGAGAGUAAAUCAGUGCCCAACAAUACUCAGGAAAACAUUUGGAGAAGAUCGAACAGUGAUGGUACAGAUUCAGAGGAGAGCAAAAUACUUCAUGUUUCAGAAGAACCUAGACAGAUUUCUCCAAAUGCAUCUCUACUUGUUUGUCAUUCACACUGACACGAGAACCUCCUCUUCUUGGUAAAGUAACAGACCUCCUGAGAGCCCUAUUGCUGGAGCAACAUAGAGAACGCAUUAACAUAACAUCUCAGGCAUGAGCCUGAGCGAACACUGCCACGACUGCCUUACUAAUCACCUGUUGUCAGUCUGACACAGAGCUCCACCUACUCGGAUAGGCAUCUAAUAAGGCACCGAGAUCUAUCUGUAGCCAGAGGGAUAAAACUGAGUUCACCUCUAACCUGGAAGACAGGUGUGUACAAACUUUGAAACAGGAAAAAAGAUCAAUUUUACCUCUAAUGAAAAUCCAAUGGAUGACUAUAGUCUACAUGGGAGGUAAACCAAUGUAGAGAUGUAUACGUUUGAACUGACUUGCUAAAGGAAAAACAUCUUCUGGUAUGAACUUUGACCAUGGCUUCUGAAAAGUAAUUAGAAAAUAUCUGGAGAAAUGCUUUAAGUCCAGUAGUGCAACCUCUUCACCUUUAACAGAUGUGGUUUGCAAGCUUCCUAAGUAACACAGACUGUACACACUAUUCUACAGUGGGUAGAAAGAAAGCUGCCUAUUUUGGCAUACCUGAUACAUGGUUUCAUGCUGACUUUCUUUAAUCAAAACAAAAUCAUACAAAUUCAAGGGAAUUUUUCCUGUCUUUCCUCAUUUUCUUUACAGUUGCUGCCACAACUGGUUUUUUAAGUGUAUUGUCACACCAUACUAAAUGUUUGUUAGCAAUACCAUUUUGUUACGUGUUAUGUAAACUGGAUAGUGGAUUACGCUCUGUGGGAUACUUAUGCGUUUCUCCACCCCUCAAGCUCCUGGGGAAACGGUUCUUCAGUAAUAUCAGGAUGUCAAAGUGAGGGCUAAAAACCUGAGAGAGAACUAUCACAUGUUCAGUAAAAACAAAAACCUGUAAUCACUAUAACAACCUUUACAUAAUCAAAGUAUGAAAGAAACACUCAAAAAACGAAAAAUCUGUGAAACUUCCAGGUACGUAUUUUAAUACAGUAUCAUAAAAGAUAAUGUUAACAGCUAGUGAUCAUC